rnacentral:tRNA from 1 species
GCCGGAGUGGCGGAAUGGUAGACGCGACGCACUCAAAAUGCGUUGUCUUAGGGCGUGUGGGUUCGACUCCCAUCUCCGGUA